rnacentral:rRNA from 1 species
GACGAACGCUGGCGGCGUGCUUAACACAUGCAAGUCGAACGGUGAAGCGCCUUCCUUUUUGGUGGGUGUGGAUGAGUGGCGAACGGGUGAGUAACACGUGAGUAACCUGCCCCCUUCUUCUGGAUAACCGCAUGAAAGUGUGGCUAAUACGGGAUAUUCUGGGUCUGUCGCAUGAUGGGUCUGGGAAAGAUAUUGUUUCGGUGGGGGAUGGGCUCGCGGCCUAUCAGCUUGUUGGUGGGGUGAUGGCCUACCAAGGCGGUGACGGGUAGCCGGCCUGAGAGGGUGGACGGUCACACUGGGACUGAGACACGGCCCAGACUCCCACGGGAGGCAGCAGUGGGGAAUAUUGCACAAUGGGCGCAAGCCUGAUGCAGCGACGCCGCGUGAGGGAUGGAGGCCUUCGGGUUGUGAACCUCUUUCGCCAGUGAAGCAGGCCUGCCUCGUUUGUGGGUGGGUUGACGGUAGCUGGAUAAGAAGCGCCGGCUAACUACGUG